CAAAUACAUAAGCCACAACACAAAUACAUAAGCGACAACGGAAGUAGCUAGCUAUGUGACAACGGAAGUAGCUAAGUGACAACGGAAGUGAACGUGUUGUUGAUAAACGGAGCCGGAGGAUGAGCAGAAGGAGAAGUUCUUGUAUGUUUGAGAAGUUAUGUUUUGUCCAUUUUGUGGAGUGAACCUUCAACAUGUUCUGUCAUAUUGUGGGAAAUGUGGCAGAAACGUUCAGUUUUUAUGGAGUCUUCAAGAUGAAGGUCCUGAAGCUACAAUGGCAGAUGAACUUAUUCAGAAGUAUUUCACAGAAGGCCAUAGUUAUGAAGUAAUAAUGGACUUACUGGCAACCAAGCACAACAUUUCAUUGAGUCUUAGCACUUUAAAAAGAAGACUACAGGAUGCACGCCU